UACUCAUAGAUACUUGUAAAGAUGAAUUAUCGACUUCAUACCUACAAUAUCUCUUUUUUCGUUUAUAACAUUUAUUAAUAAUAUUGAUUAUAUCUAGCACGACGGAUGCCCUCUAGUGGAGCAAGAAUUGCUUACCCUUCCGGGCGCACAUGGCGUUCAUUUCCUGUUUUUGUUUGAGUUCGUGUUGAUCUAUUCGUAUGAAUUAAUAGAAUCGAGCGGGUUGUCAAAUGGAUCAGAAAUGAUCAAGACAAAUGACUAAAAGAUGUCAAACUACAGACUACAAAAAUAGACAGGCGUCUUUACAUUAUAUCUAGCUCAAAGUCGCCAUACUUAAAAAAAAGUCUGAAGGAAAACAAGGACUUUAUAAAAGAUUCACCAUCAACAUUAAAUUUUCGAAAUAAAAAUUACUUUUCUGUGUAAUGUGCUAUGGAAACAUCUGUGAUCAUCUGUCAUUUCUUCUUACUUUCUUAUAGCCAUAGUAUUAUUUCGGUUUUGUUGUUGUUGGGAACUUGGUAUUUUCUUACUUUUAAAUAAUCAUCAAUCAUUUAAUUACUUGUCCAGCAAUACGAAAUUGUAUUUUUUAAACUUUGAAAUACACAAAGGAAACUGUGAUACUGUGAAUUUUGAUUUAUAUUUUUAAAUGUCCGUAUUGCCACGGUGAAAUUAGUUAUCGGGAAGUGUUUGCCCUAACCCUAACUUAGAACAUAGAAAAUUUAUUAUGGUCAAUGAACUUAGUCGAACAAUGAGUCUGUUUUUUUUUUUACUUUUCCCUUUAGAAAUAAUAAAAGUUUAAAAUGUUCGAACAUGACGCAAUUAAUAUACCAACCAUUGAAUUCCAAAUCAUUUGUUUGUAUUAUUUGAAAUUCCAAAUCAUCGAAACAUACACACUAUUUGUUUGUACAGGAAAUUCUUCCUUAUUGCGAAUCUAUAAUAUAUUUGAUUCGUUAAUGUAAACUCUACCUGACAGUGUUAAGUUAAGCACUUCCUGAGUAUUCUCUAAGCGCUGAUAUAUUUUGAGUGUUAACAAUUUAUGUCUUGUCGCUCAAAAUGAUAUAAUGGACAGCAGGGUUGUAUCAGGCAUUUAACAACAAAACAUUUAUCAUGGCAGAAUGAUUUUAACAAACUUGUUAUUUUGGGAAAUGAUAUGAAAUAAGAAUUGUGCGUCUCGGUACAAGUUUCAUAAAUUAAGCAUUGCAAGAAAUUAUUUUGGUCACAAGAAGAUAGCUCCAUAUCUUACAUGGUCUGAAAAUAACUGAAUUAUUCUAUUAUGGUUUUGGAUCGUGUUGCAAGCUUUUAGGUACAUUUUUUUUAAGGUAAAAAAAAGACUUCAAUGCUUAAAGUAAAAACAAAAAAAAUGUUUUAUUUCAGCAGAGCGUGUAAUGCAGUAAGUAAAACAAUCCUAUGUUCAGUUACCAACUAAUAUUGGUCGAUAACAAUCAGAAUCGCAGAAAUUCCAUAUGGAGCGAGACUAGGUAGGUCAACAGACGGAAUGAUUCCACAUGGCGUUGGAUCAGGUGGGUUUAACAAUCGUAAAGAUUCCAUAUGGACCAAGACUAGGUAGGUCAACAGACGGAAUGAUUCCACAUGGCGUUGGAUCAGGUGGGUUUAACAAUCGUAAAGAUUCCAUAUGGAGCGAGACUAGGUAGGUCAACAGACGGAAUGAUUCCACAUGGCGUUGGAUCAGGUGGGUUUAACAAUCGUAAAGAUUCCAUAUGGAGCGAGACUAGGUAGGUCAACAGACGGAAUGAUUCCACAUGGCGUUGGAUCAGGUGGGUUUAACAAUCGUAAAGAUUCCAUAUGGAGCGAGACUAGGUAGGUCAACAGACGGAAUGAUUCCACAUGGCGUUGGAUCAGGUGGGAUUAACAAUCGUAAAGAUUCCAUAUGGAGCGAGACUAGGUAGGUCAACCGACGGAAUGAUUCCACAUGGCGUUGGAUCAGGUGGGAUUAACAAUCGUAAAGAUUCCAUAUGGAGCGAGACUAGGUAGGUCAACAGACGGAAUGAUUCCACAUGGCGUUGGAUCAGGUGGGAUUAACAAUUGUGAAGAUUCCAUAUGGAGCGAGACUAGGUAGGUCAACAGACGGAAUGAUUCCACAUGGCGUUGGAUCAGGUGUGAUUAACAAUCGUAAAGAUUCCGUAUGGAGAGAGACUAGGUAGGUCAACAGACGUAAUGAUUCCACAUGGCGUUGGAUCAGGUGGGUUUAACAAUUGUAAAGAUUCCAUAUGGAGCGAGACUAGGUUGGUCAACAGACGGAAUGAUGAUUCCACAUGGCGUUGGAUCAAGUGGGUUUAACAAUCGUAAAGAUUCCAUAUGGAGCGAGACUAGGUAGGUCAACAGACGGAAUGAUUCCACAUGGCGUUGGAUCAGGUGGGUUUAACAAUCGUGAAGGUUCCAUAUGGAGCGAGACUAGGUAGGUCAACAGACGGAAUGAUUCCACAUGGCGUUGAAUCAGGUAGGUUUAACAAUCGUAAAGAUUCCAUAUGGAGCGAG